rnacentral:rRNA from 1 species
UACACAUGCAGUCGAGCGGGGGAGAUUGCUUCGGUAAUUGACCUAGCGGCGGACGGGUGAGUAAUACUUAGGAAUCUGCCUAUUAAUGGGGGACAACAUCUCGAAAGGGAUGCUAAUACCGCAUACGCCCUACGGGGGAAAGCAGGGGAUCACUUGUGACCUUGCGUUAAUAGAUGAGCCUAAGUCGGAUUAGCUAGUUGGUGGGGUAAAGGCCUACCAAGGCGACGAUCUGUAGCGGGUCUGAGAGGAUGAUCCGCCACACUGGGACUGAGACACGGCCCAGACUCCUACGGGAGGCAGCAGUGGGGAAUAUUGGACAAUGGGGGGAACCCUGAUCCAGCCAUGCCGCGUGUGUGAAGAAGGCCUUAUGGUUGUAAAGCACUUUAAGCGAGGAGGAGGCUCCUGUAGUUAAUACCUACAGUGAGUGGACGUUACUCGCAGAAUAAGCACCGGCUAACUCUGUGCCAGCAGCCGCGGUAAUACAGAGGGUGCGAGCGUUAAUCGGAUUUACUGGGCGUAAAGCGUGCGUAGGCGGCUUUUUAAGUCGGAUGUGAAAUCCCCGAGCUUAACUUGGGAAUUGCAUUCGAUACUGGGAAGCUAGAGUAUGGGAGAGGAUGGUAGAAUUCCAGGUGUAGCGGUGAAAUGCGUAGAGAUCUGGAGGAAUACCGAUGGCGAACGCAGCCAUCUGGCCUAAUACUGA